AUGGCAACCAUGGAGGACCACAGAGGUGAGUGCAGACCUCCGUGGAAACAAAUCCAGCGGGAACGUGGAUCCGGCUUGCGUGGGGCGCCCCCAAGUGGUGAAUCGCGGCAGAAGCGCUCGUGCGUCCUGGAGACAGAGAACCAGGAGUCUAGGAUAAAGUGGCCAAAGCUGGGCUUUUCCCGAGCUCGCGGCCACGGAAGAGAGAUGACACAACUCGUCAAGUCCCUGCCCUGGAGGAAAGUGUGUGAAGGCCGAGUGAGUGUAUCUGGCUCGCUGGGGUGAAAGCGUUCGAGUUGUCAUUUUCCAUUGUUAUCAUAAAACGAAACAGAGUUUCUGGAGUAGCAUGAACAAUGCCUAAGAAUUUUCCAGGUAAAACAAGAGACUGUCAAGCAGUUUCACACUUGGGAGGGCUGUUUUCAGCUCCUUCUCAGGGGUGUGUGUUAGUCCUCUGUUCUGAGGAUGUGUCUGUGCGAACAUUUGAAAAGAGUGAUGCAGGCUUUAGAAUCCGAAAGACCUGAGAUCACGCCUCAGCUCUGCCUGUAACCAACCAGCUGUGUAUCCCUGGGUGGGCUGCUCAAUCUCUCUGAGCCUGUGGCCUCAUCUACAAAGUGGAGCUUUUAUCUCUUUUCCACAAGACAAAGAAACACAUUCCUAAACUUCUUAGGAAUUUCAGAUUAUAGUUGACUCUUGUUUUUCAAGGCAGUUACGUUCUAUAAAGCGCUUCCCAGGUGGUGCUAGCGGUAAAGAACCCACCGCCAAUGCAGGUGACAUUAAGAGACACAGAUUCGAUCCCUGGGUCGGGGAGAUCUCCUGGAGGAGGGCAUGGCAAUCCACUCCAGUACUGUUGCCUGGAGAAUCCCAUGACAGAGGAGCCUGGUGGGCUACAGUCCAUAGGGUCACAAAGAGUCAGACACGGCUGAAGCCACAUGCACACACACACAUUUGCUCUAUAAAAUCAGCACAAGAACUGAAUUAUCAAAACCCAGCCAGCGGGCUUCUGUGGUGGUCCAGGGGGACAAUGCAGGGGACAGCGGUUCAACCCCUGGUCCAGGAAGAUCCCACAUGCCGCAGGGCAACUAAGUCUGUGAGCCACAACUACUGAAGCUGGUGCGCUCUCUGCAACAAGAGAAGAUCGGCUCGCCAUAACUAGAGAAAGCCUGCCUGCGGCAACAAAGGCCCAGCACAGCCAAAAAUAAAUAAUCAAUUUUUUAAAAAAUUUCAAAAAUAAAGAAACCCAACCAUUGCCCAUAGGGGAAAUACAACAGUAGGUUCUCCUGGCAGCCUCUGGUCCCCACAUUUUGUCAGCCCGCCACUAACAUAACCUUGUUUUAUGCGUGUUUUUGUUUUGUUUGAAAACACCUUAUUUAAUAUACAUUGUUGGCUCAAUAUUGAGCUCACAGCCCAAAGUGUAUGCUUAAAGCCUCCCUAACACAAAUGUUUUCUCCCCAAGUCACAUCCCAAUCUUUUCGUGCAUGGCAACAGCAGACAGCCUUUCAGCGCUACCUCGGGAGUCAUUUUAAACGAUAAUAUCACUGAGAAAAAGCACAAAGGUGCAAAAACUCGGCAGUAAGUAGACUUUGAAAAGGAUACCUGUUUACAGUGUGAGGAGUGAAGCCCAGAAGGCAGAAGUCGCCCUGUUGGGCCUCAGCUGGGAGCUUGAACUUCAGGCAGCUCAGAAGUUCACGCUGCUUUUCGCAUGACCUCAAAAACACAGCAAAUACUGAUUUGGGGCUGCAAAAAAAAAAAAUCUAUUGUUUUACUUUUUUUUUUAACUGUUUAUUUUGUAUUGGAGUAUAGCCAAUGAACGGGUCUUCCCUGCUGGCUCAGGGGUAGAGACUCUGCCUGCCAGCGCAGGAGAUGCAGGUUCUAUCCCUGGGUAGGGAAAAUCCCCUGGUGAAGGAAAUGGCUACCCACUCCAGUAUUCUUACCUGGGAAUUCCCAGGAACAUAGGAGCCUGCGGGCUACAUUCAUGGAGUCACAAAGAAUUGGACACGACUGAGCAACUGAGCACACACACACACACACACACACACACACAACCAAUCAACAAUGUUUUGAUAGUUUCAGAUGAACAAUAAAGGGACUAAGACAUACAGGCACAUAUAUCCAUUCUCCCCAAAACCCUUUUCCCAUCCAGCCUGCCACACAGCACUGAGCAGAGUUCCAUGUGCUACACAGUAGGUCCUUGUUGGUUAUCCGUUCUAAAUAUGCUGCUGCUGCCCACCAGGCUCCUCUGUCCAUGGGAUUCUCCAGGCAAGAGUACUGGAGUGGGUUGCCAUGCUCUCAUCCAGGGGAUCUUCCUGACCCAGGGGUUGAACCUGCAUCUCUUAUGUCUCCUGAAUUGGCAGGCAGAUUCUUUACCACUAGCACCACCUGGGAAGCCCCCCUUUAAAUAGAGCAGGCUACAAAUCAAUCUUUGCAAGUAGGCAGAUUUGCAAAUAUUGAAUCCGUAAGUAAUGAGGCUCAGCU
rnacentral:tRNA from 1 species